GUCACACAUAGACCGACACGGUAGCCUGGGUGCCUUUUCUUAGCGUUAGACGCUUGAAUGGGUUGGUUGUCGGGGUUUAUGGAGGCUUAAC
rnacentral:sRNA from 1 species